rnacentral:rRNA from 1 species
CUGGUUUUCCAGGCAAAUCCGGAAAAUCAAGGCUGAGGCGUGACGACGAGGCACUACGGUGCUGAAGCAACAAAUGCCCUGCUUCCAGGAAAAGCCUCUAAGCAUCAGGUAACACGAAAUCGUACCCCAAACCGACACAGGUGGUCAGGUAGAGAAUACCAAGGCGCUUGAGAGAACUCGGGUGAAGGAACUAGGCAAAAUGGUGCCGUAACUUCGGGAGAAGGCACGCUGACAU